rnacentral:rRNA from 1 species
GACGAACGCUGGCGGCGUGCUUAACACAUGCAAGUCGAACGGAAAGGCCCUGCUUUUGUGGGGUGCUCGAGUGGCGAACGGGUGAGUAACACGUGAGUAACCUGCCCUUGACUUUGGGAUAACUUCAGGAAACUGGGGCUAAUACCGGAUAGGAGCUCCUGCUGCAUGGUGGGGGUUGGAAAGUUUCGGCGGUUGGGGAUGGACUCGCGGCUUAUCAGCUUGUUGGUGGGGUAGUGGCUUACCAAGGCUUUGACGGGUAGCCGGCCUGAGAGGGUGACCGGCAAAAUGGGGACUGAGUUACGGCCCAGACUCCUACGGGAGGCAGAGGGGGGAAAUAUUGCACAAGGGGCGGAAGCCUGUUGCGGCAAGGCGGGGGGCGGGAUGACGGCCUUCGGGUGGUAAACCGCUUCGCCUGUGACGAAGCGUGAGUGACGGUAAUGGGUAAAGAAGCACCGGCUAACUACGUG